AUAACAGCCAUUUUUCUCAGGUUUCCUUUCAGGCCUUGGCUAUGUUACCUUGGAGGAAUGUUCUCAUGGUGUGAGAUCUCUGUUGGAUGUGGACAUGGCAGCGCAUCUUCAGAUCCAUCUGCCCACCAAGAAGAGAUGUCCUCCCUCAAACUGGAGAUUGCCAUAGCCAAAAAGCCCUCAAGGAAUCUGCAGAUCUUCUCUCAUCCCAUCUUCCCCGUGGAUGGGAAAACAACUGUGUAAGAAGAGAAGGAACCUGUCCUCAAGAUAUGGUCAAAUCUGUCACCACCCGGUUGCCAAAUCAUUGCGAGAGAGUGAUGGAUGGAGCUGGAAAACCUGGUCAGUUCAGAGAUGGACUGAUGAGAGAUGGAACGGGAUCACAUCUUGGUGAACACACAGAUGCAGAAACAGCUUCGCAGGAGAAUUUCAAUCUAACAUCAACAGGAGAUUUGGAAGAUGAAUUGUGCAAGGAUCUCCUUCCUCCAACGAUGCUGCUUUGUUUUGCUUUUUGGCAUUUGGUUUGGCUCUAAUAUUGUCUGUUUUAUGAUGUUUUAAUUAUUGUUGUUUAUUUAUUAUAAUCAUAUUUUAAUUGUUUGUGUAGUGCCUUGAGUGCCUAGGCAGGGGGGCACAUUAUAAAUUAAAUUAUUAUUAAAAAGUUGUUAUUAUGUGUACCUACUCCAAACUGAGCUAGAGCAGGGAAUGCACUCAACUGCCUGGAAUUAAUUUCCCCCUUUUAUUUUCCCUUGUCUUUUCUCUACUCAGGAGUGUAGUUCAAAGGAUUGGAGGGAGAAAAUGAUGUUUCACUGCCUCCCCCUGGGGCUGAGCGAGGCAAGGGGAGCUCUGCUCUUGGCUCCCUUGGGUGCUGAGGUUGAAGUUAGGGAAAUGGUGUGCUCCAUGGACUAAAUGAGUUACUUCCUACAGCUUUUCUGCCUCCCUCCCUCCGUGAUCCCGAAUGGCAGGCUGCUGGAAGAAGCUGGUUGAUGUUUGCUGCAUUACAACAGCAUCUGCUAAUUCUUAAAUUAAAAGGGGGUUAUUAAGUGUGCUGACGGUGGGCUUAAAGGGGAGGAGGGGGCUGCAGGAUGAGGCCAGGUGAGGAUGGCAGGGACGGUGCUCCUGUCCAAGCCCCUCUUCUUGCACCAUCACCUUUCUGGUCUGAUGCAGAUGUCACUGCUCCCACCACCAACGUCCCCACCAGCCUGGAGAAAUCCCAGCUGGGUGUCCACAGCUCUGAGAGUCACUGCCAAGGAUUCAGCCACUCGGUCCUGUUGCUGCUGCACCAGGUUUCCUCAGACCCCUCUGCACCCACACAGUGUGGUUGUUGCUGUUGCAGUAUAAAUACAGGGAACCUUCCCCUCAGACAACCAAUUUUGGCAGGACUGGGACACAGCGCAGAGAUCCCCAAGCUCUCAGAUCAACUGCUCCAUCAUGGCCUGCAUGGAAAAGAAGGAUUUCCCCUCCCUCAGACCUUCUCACCACUGUCCUGGAGGCUCAGACGCUGGAUCAAGCCUACAGCGAUUAACAUUCAACACCUGUGCUUCAAUCAAGCUACUUUUCUCUAGUAAUAUCAUUUAUGCUGAAACUUCAUCUCCUUCAGUCACUGAUCUUCAGGCUUAUCUGCCUUAGCCUGGUGUAAAUCCAGGGUAACCCUGUUCUUAUUGGAGUUAUUCCUGAUCAGCACUGGUUUAAAUGAAAUCCGAAUGUGACCCACAGAUGACAUCAUUUCGGGGCCUUGCAGAGAUCAGAGCCAUAAGACAGACUCGUGGUGGCGAUUGCCUCAUCCAUGCCACAAACAAGCAAAGCAAGGUGGUAGAGUUGCUGUCGUGUCUUGGUUAAUUGACAUGGAAAAAUCUUGAAUGUUCCGCGAUUACAGGAAGUGUUUUCACUGAGGUAGGAACCACACGCCUCCAUGCUGGCCUAUCUGUGGGGUUUCUUCUCUACAAGUCCAUGAAAUUCCCAGGCUUGGCAUGCAUUGCGCUGGGAGAUUGAC
ensembl:lncRNA